rnacentral:rRNA from 1 species
AUUGAACGCUGGCGGCAUGCCUUACACAUGCAAGUCGAACGGUAACAGGUCUUCGGAUGCUGACGAGUGGCGAACGGGUGAGUAAUACAUCGGAACGUGCCUAGUAGUGGGGGAUAACUACUCGAAAGAGUGGCUAAUACCGCAUGAGAUCUACGGAUGAAAGCAGGGGAUCGCAAGACCCUGUGUUACUAGAGCGGCCGAUGGCAGAUUAGGUAGUUGGUGGGAUAAAAGCUUACCAAGCCGACGAUCUGUAGCUGGUCUGAGAGGACGAUCAGCCACACUGGGACUGAGAAACGGCCCAGACUCCUACGGGAGGCAGCAGUGGGGAAUUUUGGACAACGGGCGCAAGCCUGAUCCAGCAAUGCCGCGUGCAGGAUGAAGGCCUUCGGGUUGUAAACUGCUUUUGUACGGAACGAAAAGCCCCGGGUUAAUACCCUGGGGUCAUGACGGUACCGUAAGAAUAAGCACCGGCUAACUACGUGCCAGCAGCCGCCGCAG